rnacentral:rRNA from 1 species
CCGGCAACGGCACCCUGUUGCUGAGAACUUGAUCAAACUUGGUCAUUUAGAGGAAGUAAAAGUCGUAACAAGGUUUCCGUAGGUGAACCUGCGGAAGGAUCAUUAAUGAAUCUGAAAGGGGUUGUAGCUGGCCGUUUCGUUUGAGCGGCAUGUGCACGCCCUGAUCAUUAUCCAUCUCACACACCUGUGCACACACUGUAGGUCGGCUUUUGAUUGGAGUGGGGUCUUCAUCGACUCUGCUUUUUAGUUGGGGCCUUCCUAUGUUUUAUCACACACUACUUCAGUUUAAAGAAUGUCCUCUUGCGUCUAACGCAUUUAAAUACAACUUUCAGCAACGGAUCUCUUGGCUCUCGCAUCGAUGAAGAACGCAGCGAAAUGCGAUAAGUAAUGUGAAUUGCAGAAUUCAGUGAAUCAUCGAAUCUUUGAACGCACCUUGCGCUCCUUGGUAUUCCGAGGAGCAUGCCUGUUUGAGUGUCAUGGAAUUCUCAACUCUAUUUGCUUUUGUGAAUAGAGCUUGGACUUGGAGGUUUAUUGCCGGUACCUGUGAUCGGCUCCUCUUGAAUGCAUUAGCUCGAACCUUUUGUGGAUCAGCUUAUCGGUGUGAUAAAAUGUCUACGCCGUUACUGUGAAGCAUAUUAUUCGGCUUCCAAUCGUCCUUCACGGGACAAUAACUUUGACCUUUGACCUCAAAUCAGGUAGGAUUACCCGCUGAACUUAAGCAUAUCAAUAAGCGGAGGAAAAGAAACUAACAAGGAUUCCCCUAGUAACUGCGAGUGAAGCGGGAAAAGCUCAAAUUUAAAAUCUGGCGGUCUUUGGCCGUCCGAGUUGUAGUCUGGAGAAGUGCUUUCCGCGCUGGACCGUGUACAAGUCUCUUGGAACAGAGCGUCAUAGAGGUG